rnacentral:rRNA from 1 species
AGUAAUGUAUGGGGAUCUGCCUGAUGGCGGGGGGUAACUACUGGAAACGGUAGCUAAUACCGCAUAAUGUCUGCGGACCAAAGCGGGGGACCUCCGGGCCUCGCGCCAUCAGAUGAACCCAUAUGGGAUUAGCUUAUAGGUAAGGUAACGGCUUACCUAGGCGACGAUCCCUAGCUGGUCUGAGAGGAUGAUCAGCCACACUGGGACUGAGACACGGCCCAG